CUCACCGUGGCGUUGCCAGUGGCGCUGUAGGGACAGUAGACUUCCGGAUCCUCCAGCGGCAGCUGCUCCUGGGCGCUCCCGGCUGCAUCCACCCAGUGCAAGGUGUUAGGGUGCCCCUCCCCAAGGAACCGAAGAAACAUGGCCUGGAGGUCACUCCAGUACAACGUGCCCAGGCCGGAGUUGAGGUCCAGCUCAGAGUUGACAUCCUCGCCGACCAUCAACACGGAGUCCCCGCAUGCCUGGCAGGACCCUCGAAAGGUCACAUAGCCCAGGAGGAAGGCUGGCAGGUGGUGCCCCAGAUCAGGGCCUUCCACACGUUUAUAGAUGGUCUGAGAGGGUCUUGGGGACCACUGUUGCUGUGUGGAGCGGGCAGGUAGGCAUGAGAUUAGGGGAAGGGGCCUAGGAGUUGGGGAAGGGUUAGGCAAGAAUGGUGUCACCGGCUGGGGCAGGGAGGGAGCUCUAGGGGGGAGGCUGGAGAGGAGGCACCCAAGGGGGAUGAGGUGGGGCCAACCUUACGCAUUAGGGAGGGGCCUGAGGACCAUGGAGGAAGACCUAAUGCGUGUAACCCUCCCACCCGCAUGGUCUUACCGCUCUCUGCAGUAGACCCCAAAGUUGGUCC